UACCUCGUUGACCGGAAGGAGAUCCUUCCGGUCAACGAGGUACAUGUACCUCGUCAACUGGAAGGAAGCCCUUCCAGUCAGCGAGGUA
rnacentral:miRNA from 1 species